CCCAAGUGUUGAGAGAGUUUGACUGUGAACUUGGGAUCACUGUAGAAGACCGCAGAACUGCAGUCUAACUUGUGGAUUCGCUUAUGCUCACGCUUCAAGAGUUGAGAAACCUAUGUUGGAAAAUAAGGUAAACUUCUGUUUCACCUUUUGCAAAAACAUUAGUUUGAAUUUCUUUCUUUUCAGUUUCUUGUAAAAAGUAUUUGUUUGAUGUAUUCUUAUAAAAAACCAUGUAAGGGUAAUUUCUUUUAAUUGUUUUUUGUAUGUAAUUUUCAUACAUAAUGAAAGAGUUAGAUUCGCAUCACUAA